GUCAAUUGAUUUAUAUUAAACACUCGAUGGAUUACAACAAGAGCCAGCAGAACACACUGAUAUCCCCGGAAUCAACAACCCACAUAAGGGACACUUAAAGCCAUGCGAAUGCACCAAAGACUACACUAAAACAUAACUUAAGACAAAAGCAAAUUCCUACAACUAGAUCUCCAUACAAUCCUUUAACAAAACCAUAGAUAGUAUAGUCAAGACCUAAAAUAACCAGAGGUCUAGCAAGAGACCACAAUCAACCAAGCGGACAAGCAGGGAAGACUUAACAGAACCGAAAAUCACCUGAACCUUCUGUCCACGAUGAAAAGCUAGAACCACGCCGAAUAGCACCACACACACCGACCCCGAAACAUGGGUCCAAGAACCGAAACACCUGGGACCAACCCUCCUACAAAAUCGCAACUUCCUCCGAUUGAACCAAAACCUCAACCUCAUUAUACUGCUUCAAACGAUCUCGCGCUAUACGUAGUUUAUUUAUGGACAUUAGCGAAAUGUUUGGUUUAUCAUGUCACGAUAAAACAACGCGUCGUUCUAUCCUGUGAGUUCAAAACUUGUUGUUGGAUGGGAGCGUAUUAAUCAUAGGGUAGUUGGGUCACGUAAAAUAUCUGUAGCUUUGCAUGUAGUGGCGAAUCGUAACGCUUUGUGUCUUGGGGUUAUCACGUAUUACGUUUCGACUUUAACAAAAUUUACUACUAUAACUAUAGAUUUUUUUUGAAAAAGCAAUAUAAAUAUAGAUUACGUACUAUAACUAGAGAUAUAAAUAUAAACAUGCGACAGAGCAUCUUUUGGAAAGUGUUGGUCGUCCCAUUAGUCGAACUAAGUUUCGGCAAUCUCGAGACGAUCUGAUUACUGAUUUCACCUUUUUAUUUCUAAAUUAAUUUUCAAAUAUUCCUUCUAUAUUUGAAAAAUGAUGUUUAAAAUUGUUCAUACAUUUGAUCAAAAAAAAAUUGUUCAUACAUAUUUUUAAAAUUAAUAUUCACUUUUACCUAUUACUUUCUUGUUUUAUUUUUAAUUAGUUUAGAGUUUUAUUUGCUUUCCAAUAAAAUUUAAUCAUUCAAAUAUUUAGAUUUAAAUUUAUCUUUUGAUUUUAAAGUAAAAUACAUUUAUUAAAAUUAGAUUAUCAAUUUUUUAUAUAUUCAAAAAAGUAGAACAUCAAUUUUUUUGUAUACGUAAUGAGUAUUUAAAAAAAAAUAUUAAGAAUAUGUGGAAUUGCGUCGGAAUAACGAUAUUCCGACGAAAUUCCGACGAUUUUUUCCCUCAGAAUCCUUGAUGUUUUCUUGUAGUGGAUACUCAAACAUGAAGAUUGCAUUAAGAAGUUUCAGAAGAAAGUUUUUUCAAUUUUUAUCCUAUUAUAUUUUAUUUUAAAUUUGCAUUUGGUUGUAUUUUUAUUAUUUUAUGUGCAAUGCUACAUCUUAUAUGAAUAAAAUAAUUGUUAAAAAAAAUCUUGCUCCCACUAACGCUCCUAAUUCUUGAUAAUUGAUUAACUUGUCAUUGUGAUAUUUGAAAUUUUUAAUAUAUUUAGCUGACAAUAAUUCUACUAAAUUCAAUUUCCAUAUUAAACAAACCCCGCAGUAUAUAAUUUACGAGAAGCCGUGCGUUUUUUCUUCGUCAAUUGAUUUAUAUUAAACACUCGAUGGAUUACAACAAGAGCCAGCAGAACACACUGAUAUCCCCGGAAUCAACAACCCACAUAAGGGACACUUAAAGCCAUGCGAAUGCACCAAAGACUACACUAAAACAUAACUUAAGACAAAAGCAAAUUCCUACAACUAGAUCUCCAUACAAUCCUUUAACAAAACCAUAGAUAGUAUAGUCAAGACCUAAAAUAACCAGAGGUCUAGCAAGAGACCACAAUCAACCAAGCGGACAAGCAGGGAAGACUUAACAGAACCGAAAAUCACCUGAACCUUCUGUCCACGAUGAAAAGCUAGAACCACGCCGAAUAGCACCACACACACCGACCCCGAAACAUGGGUCCAAGAACCGAAACACCUGGGACCAACCCUCCUACAAAAUCGCAACUUCCUCCGAUUGAACCAAAACCUCAACCUCAUUAUACUGCUUCAAACGAUCUCGCGCUAUACGUAGUUUAUUUAUGGACAUUAGCGAAAUGUUUGGUUUAUCAUGUCACGAUAAAACAACGCGUCG
rnacentral:lncRNA from 1 species